AUACAGGAUUAAAGAUACUCGAUCCACUUCAGAAAGGACUUCUGCGAGCAUGUAUUUACCCGAUGACCCUGGACUCUCCUUUCGGCUUUAGAGAGUUUGUUCCAAGCGAGGGAAGCGACAUCCUACGUCAGAGGCUGCUGUGGGGGGAGAGGAGGCUUCACGAACGCCGGCCCACAGAUUCCUCCUCAGCGGCCCUUCCGAGGCUCCUGCUCUCAGGCGGUGUGCACGUGGAGAACGUCACGCUGGUGUUUAUGGGUUUGUGUUCGUGCUUCCGAAGUCCAUCUUCAGAAAUAAUAAACGCUUGUAACGCAGCUCCUGUUGGCCCGUGGUAAACGCAGGAGAAUAGUGUGAUUCGUAUCUUGUAACUGACCUGCUUCCCUUCACGUGACUAAGUUGAGCGUUCAUGAAGUCUUGGAGAAAAUCAGAUUUUAAGGAUAGUCUAAGAACACUUCAUCAUGAGUCACCCAGCUGAGGUGAUCUGAACAGCCCAUGUCAGAACCAUUAAGUAACCAAACAGUCUUCACGUCAUGGGAGUGGAACUCUUGGAUUUUAGUUGUCUUCUCUACUUGUAUAAACCACAAAGACAGAAGCUAAUCCUAUUGCACAGCCAUGGUGCAGCUCUUCCAUGACAGGCCCCGAAAAGUUCGCCUUGUUUUCAGAUAUGUCUAACUAAGCCAUGGUGAUUUGGAGUGGGGAGAAUCAGAGGCGGAUGAUGGCAUUUACAGCGGCUCCGUUGAGUAAGCAGUAGACUCAUGUUUCCAAGGUGCACUCGGUUACUUCAGGUCAGAGAUUUGCAUGACAAAUUUUUGCACCUGGAAAUAUAAAUUGCAUGCUUAAUAAUUACAUGUGCGGUAAAGGAAUUUUAUUAAGGCCUCGGGGAAGAUUGGACUUACAGGCCAUGCCUCCUAACACCCGUGAGGAGCAAGCACAGGAGCUAGUUAAACGGGACCCCUGUCUGAGCUCAGAGCAGGUGGGCACUCAGAGUCCAGGCCGUACUCUUUAUCUUUUUAUGGCGGCAGCAGGAGCUAGAGGUGGGAAGCGCCUCUGAGCUACAGCAGCGGCAGCAGCAGAGAUGCAGGCCUUUCCUCCUUUACGUGAAAUACUCGGGCUUUGUGGGGACGAUUAAGCCCGAGAAUCUAAGGACAGUUUGAAUAGUUACACUCUGAAAAUCUGGCAAGAUGAAAGGUGAGUGAUUAAGGUGGUUUCGGUCUAAACCAGAGUGAGUGCUCAGCACUCUUCUUGGCACAGUUCGUUUGGCAGAAUCGCUGCACC